rnacentral:rRNA from 1 species
GCCGUAAACGAUGGGCACUAGGUGUUGGUGCCAUACGGGCAUCGGUGCCGUAGUCAAGGCGCUAAGUGCACCGCCUGGGGAGUAUGCUCGCAAGGGUGAAACUCAAAGGAAUUGACGGGGGCCCGCACAAGCGGUGGAGCAUGUGGUUUAAUUCGAUGAUACGCGAGGAACCUUACCAGGGUUUGACAUGUGCAGGACAGUCUGUGAGAACAGGCUUUCCCGCAAGGGACCUGCACACAGGUGCUGCAUGGCUGUCGUCAGCUCGUGUCGUGAGACGUU